rnacentral:rRNA from 1 species
ACGGAGCACGCCGCGUGAGUGAUGAAGGUCUUCGGAUCGUAAAACUCUGUUAUCAGGGAAGAACAAAUGUGUAAGUAACUGUGCACAUCUUGACGGUACCUGAUCAGAAAGCCACGGCUAACUACGUGCCAGCAGCCGCGGUAAUACGUAGGUGGCAAGCGUUAUCCGGAAUUAUUGGGCGUAAAGCGCGCGUAGGCGGUUUUUUAAGUCUGAUGUGAAAGCCCACGGCUCAACCGUGGAGGGUCAUUGGAAACUGGAAAACUUGAGUGCAGAAGAGGAAAGUGGAAUUCCAUGUGUAGCGGUGAAAUGCGCAGAGAUAUGGAGGAACACCAGUGGCGAAGGCGACUUUCUGGUCUGUAACUGACGCUGAUGUGCGAAAGCGUGGGGAUCAAACAGGAUUAGAUACCCUGGUAGUCCACGCCGUAAACGAUGAGUGCUAAGUGUUAGGGGGUUUCCGCCCCUUAGUGCUGCAGCUAACGCAUUAGGCACUCCGCCUGGGGAGUACGACCGCAAGGUUGAAACUCAUAGGAAUUGACGGGGACCCGCACAAGCGGUGGAGCAUGUGGUUUAAUUCGAAGCAACGCGAAGAACCUUAGCAAAUCUUGACAUCCUUUGACCGCUCUAGAGAUAGAGUCUUCCCCUUCGGGGGACAAAGUGACAGGUGGUGCAUGGUUGUCGUCAGCUCGUGUCGUGAGAUGUUGGGUUAAGUCCCGCAACGAGCGCAACCCUGAAGCUUAGUUGCCAUCAUGUAAGUUGGGCACUCUAAGUUGACUGCCGGUGACAAAGCGGGAUGAAGGUGCGCGAUGACGUCAAAUCAUCAUGCCGCCUUAUGAUGUUGGGCUACACACGUGCUACAGUGGGACUAUACACAGGAGCAGCU